rnacentral:tRNA from 1 species
GGCUGUGGCUCAGUGGUAGAGUGCUCGCCUAGCACAUGUGAGGCACUGGGUUUGAUCCUCAGCACCA